rnacentral:tmRNA from 1 species
GGGGUCGUUCUGGAUUCGACAUGUGUAAUAGCGUGUGAGCUGCACUUCGUAGCGUCAUCUACGUAAAAAUGGCACAGUUUAUUAUAACUGCAAAAAAUAAUAACUCUUACGCUGUAGCUGCUUAAUAACCAGUUCUGCGUGAUCCAUCUGGGUUAGUCCCGAGUCCAGUCGUGGGUCCUAUAAUUGAGGGACUACGUUUAACUGUGCAUUCUGAAUAGUUAAAAAGAGAUUACCGGAAUAGCCAUUAUGGCUUGCCUGGUUGUGUGGCGUACAUAGUGGCGAAACUUAAAUAACACAUCUAUGAGUGUAGAUGUUCACAUAGCAUUAUGCUUGGACGCGGGUUCGACUCCCGCCGACUCCA